AGCGCUCCCAACCGUCUACCUACCCCACCACGGCACCAUCUCGUCCGUCAUGCUAGCGUGCGUGCGUGCGUGCCAUCUUUGUCACCGCGCCCGCCGCUUGCCCCCCGUACGUGCGGCGCGCGAAUCUGAGCCCCCGUCAUCCACACGCCGCGGCGGUUAGGAUCCGGUUCCCGAUCGGCACCGACACGGGGAGAUCCGCCCAGAAAAUGACCCGGAAAAGUUCCAAAGCUGGCGCGCGGCGAGGAGAUGGAUGGGAUGGGGAAAUGAAGAGGGAGCGGCCGAGAAGGAGACGGCCGCGCCGCCGCCGCCGCGAGGCCAUGGCUGCGGAGCGGUGGCGGCUCCGGCUCCGGCUCCAGGCGGCCCGGCGCACCCGGAUCCCGCGCGAGGUGGAGAGAACAUACAGGGUGCCGCUCGAGGGGGCGUGCACGCAUCGGCGUCCCCAGGAGCGUGGCAUGAGCAUGUUGGAGGGUGCUCAGCCUCGGUACAAUCGUUCUAGACUACAGGGAUAAUCAGUGCUAAUCCUUGAGCUCCAGCUUCACUACUCACUACAGGGAUAAUUCACACAAUGCUUUCCCUGCAGGCGCAAGAAAUGGAUAAAUGUGAUGAAGCCCUUGGACUGCUGAAUUUGCACUGGAGUCUGUCCUAAACUAUUCAGGAGCUUACCAACAACUGUCAUGCAUUCUUGGUCAUGAAUGCAGCCAGGCAGAUUUAACAGCCUCCAAUCUAGGGAAAAUAACAAUAGACAGACACAGAUACAACACUUCUGCCUGUGCAGGGGGUUAACUGUCCUACGGGCAAGAAGCAUCAACCAGAAGCCCAAGCAUAAAAAAGGUAAACUAGAAUAUUGUUAGAGAAAUUCCAUCCGGUACCACUAAUACCGCCACUAACUUCGUCCCUUUCUGGGAAUUUUUGGUUUACUGGCCUUCAAACACGCUUCGGCUGACAAACAGCUUCAUCCUGCCCCCUGCCCUAAGUUGCCAUUUUUUGCAGCCUACUUCUAUCCCUGCCAAAUAUUGUAGGAGCUGAAUUACUUUGGAAUCUAGAUAUACAUCUAAUCGAUUGCGCAGUUUCUUCCCAUCAAAUGGUGAGUGCUUGCGAAUAGGUAAUGUGUAUUAUGUUAUCCCCUAGGAGGCUAGUACUAGGAUUUUCAAAUGACCCCAACUUGUGUGCAAGGUCUGUAAUAUGUAUAGCCCAGAGACAAAUUUACGGUACUGUCCAAGUGUUAUUUCAAAAGGUUGGAAUUGGAUUAGUUAUACAUGACAAAUAACUGGAACACACUGUUGCUCUCACAUCAUGCUAAAUAGUAGCGCUACUGCUAAAUAGCUAUACACAUUAAUGAUAUAAUAACUCAUCAUGAUCAUAAUAACAACUCAUCAUCAUAAUAAUAAUAAUAACAACUCCUCCUCCUCCUCCUCCUCCUCCUCAUAGUCAUAUAAGAACUCAUCAUCAUCAUCAUCUAUGAGUCAUAUAACAACUUCAUUCUAAGUUUCUAGCACAUUCUAGCACAUAACUCAUCAUCAUCAUAAUAAUAACAACUCCUCAUCCUCAUAGUCAUAACCAACACUAGCUAAUUGUUCAUAUCACAUGAUGAGUACUACCGAGGACCUACACCUCUCUCUUUGCUAAAAUAGCAUAAAACAGGUAAACCGGUCCAUCUCCAUAAUGGAGAAUGGAGAUCCACCUGUCUCCAACUUGUGGCUUGCGCACAUUCAUGUUGUCUCCAAUUGGUUGCUUGCGCGCAUUCAUUACUUUCCUCCAUUCUUUGAUAUUGAGUCUUUCAUCUUUUAAAGAAAUCGAGUAUGCCAUGUGGUAAGCUGUCGGCGGAGUUGGUCGUAAGCUAAACAUAUGCAUAUGACCUUCGGUAAGCAUCAUGUCAGGCACAACCUCCUUCGGGAGUUUCUAUUGAAGAACAUAAUAGUAACAUAUAGUUAGCAAUGUAGUUUACUUAAGAAGAAUGUAUGCAACCAUAGUUUACCAUGUUUUUUGCAAUGAAGUUACCAUCAUGCAACUCGUGGACUAGUGGCACGUAUCCACUAAAAUUUGGGUUAAUUAGAUAAUUGGUCUUAUAAGUCUCAACAUCGUUUAUAAAUGAGACAAGAGAUCCUUUCUCCUAACAAUUUAGCUCGGAGCCAUAGCUAUAGUACGUCUUGUCUACAACCUUCCGAGUAUUUCUUGAAGAUAAGAAAUAAGAUGACAAUAUAAAUAAACAAGUUUAGUAGGGAUGAACACCAAAUAUUUUUAAAUAAAUAAUAUUAAUUACUUAACAAAUUUCUUUGACAAACUCACAUAGAGGCGGAACUGGAGGCAUAUUCACAUCCACCCAAAUGUCGAUAUUAUUUUCAAUAUCAUCUUCAGGACGAAUAUCGAAGGUUAUUUGCAUAUUCUCCUCAAAUCCAUAGGCCUUGCAGAGAGCUCCCCAAUUAGAGCAACCAAAAUAUGAGUGAUUAAGUGCAUUGUAGAGUUUAACCCGAAAAGCAUAAUCAUGUUUAGUCCUGAGGUGAGCUCUCCUCGUCUCCAUAUUCUCACUCUCUUGGAAACCGAGCUUCUCCAAGACAAAUAGUCUUGCAUGGCAGGGGAUGCACUAGUUGAAUUGAAAAAACGGAAAUUACACGUUGAAGCAAAGAAGUACAAGUCAUGCUUAAUUCCACAUUCAUUCAAAGAAGCACAAGUCAAUACCUACCGUAAAAACAUUGAAGGUCUCGUCCAGCUUGAUGGUGAAAUACCUACCGUUUUCCAGAUGAUACAUGUCGCACAUACCCCGGUUGUCGCCGCAGUAAUCACACUCAGGUAUCCUACCAUCGUCAGACAUUUCCUGUGUUCAUAAUUCAAAGAUUAUAAAUCGAUGGCAAUUACCAAAAACUCAGGAAAUGAUCUGUGUGUUGAGUUCCUGGUAAUUGCCGUUGAUUUUUAAUCUUUAAAUUAUGAACACAGGAAAUGUCUGACGGCGAUAGGAUAUCUGAGUGCGAUUACUGCACCGAUGACGGGGGUAUGUGCGGCAGGCCUCAUCUAGAUAACGAUAGGUGCUUCACCCUCACGCUGAAGGAGACCUUCGAACAUUUUACGGUAUGCAAUGACGGAAAGUAUUUUUUCAUAAUUAAACAUGACUAGUGCUUUUUGCUUUAACGUGUAAUUUUCGUUUUGUACAAUUCGACUAGUGCAUCCCCUGUUAUGCAAGAUUGUAUGUCUUAGAGAAGCUUGGUUUCGAAGAUAGGGAGAGUAUGGAGACGAAUAAAGCUCACCUAAAGAUGAAACAUGGUUUCGUUUUUGCGGUUAAGCUCUACAAUGCAGUAAAUCACUCAAAUUUUGGUUGUCGAAAUUGGAGAGGACUAUGCAAGGCCUAUGGAUUUCAGGAGGAUAUGAAAAUAACCUUCGAUAUUGGUCCUCAAGAUGAUCCUAAAGAUAAUAUCGACAUUUCGGUGGAUGUGGACAUGAUUCCAGUUCUACCUCUAUGUGAGUUUGUCAAACAAAUAUGUAACUAAUUUAUAUUGUUUAUUUAAAAAUAGUUGGUAUUCAUCCCUACUAAACUUGUUUAUUUAUAAUUUGAUAGCUUAUUUCUUUUCUCCAAGAAAUACACGAAAGAAAGGUUGUAGACAAGUCAUACUACAUUUAUGGCUCGGAGCUAACUUGGAAGGAGAAAAAUUCCGUUGUCUCAUUUAUUAAUGAUGUUGAGACUUUUAAGACCAAAUAUGAAAUUAGCCAAAAUUGUAGUGGAUAUGUGCCGCUAGUCCACGAGUUGAGUGAUGGUAGCAUCAGUGCAAAUAGCAUGGUAAGAUUUUAUUGACUAUCGUUGGAUACAUUCUUCUUAAGUAAACUACAUUGCUAACUAUGUUACUAUUAUGUUCUUCAACAAAAACUCCCGAAGGAGGUUGUGCCUGACCUGAUGUAUACCGAAGGUCAGAUGAGUAUGUUUAGCUUAUGGACAAAUUAGCCGGUGGCUUUCCACAGUGCAUACUCGAUUUCUCUAAAAGAUGAAAGCCUCAAAAUCAAAGGAAGAAUGCGCACAGGCAACCAAUUGGAGAACAUGAAUGUGCGCAAGCCACAAGUUGGAGACUGGCGGAUCUCUAUUGUCCAUUUUGGACAUGGAGGGGUUUACCUGUUUUAUGAUAUUUUACCUAGGAGAGAGGAGUAGGUCCUACGUAGUACUUGUCAUGUGCUAGAAUGAUGAUGAGUUAUUUACCUAGGAUGACUACCCUUAGCUAGGUUGGUUAACUUGUCAUGUGCUAUAUUGAUGGUGAGUUAUUAUAUGACUACGCAUGAUGAUUGAGUUGUUAUAUGACUACGAUGAUGAUGACGAGGCCGUACUACUUGUAAUGUGCUAGAAUGAUGAUGAGUUAUUAUAUAUAUGACUACGGAUGAUGAGUUGUUAUAUCAUUGGGGUGUAAGAAACAUGGAUCCAUCCACUUUAAUCUAAUCCGUGUUUCCUCCACAAUCUCUUCAUUGCUACGGUAUAAAAAUUGUAUAACUGUGUAUAAAUAAAAGUAUAAAUAUAAAGAAAUGAAUACUCACUAAUAAUAGUGGCGUGGGGCAAAAACAGGCGUUACUGCUAUUUAGCAGUAGCGUUAGCAAUAGCGCGGGUCCAAUCCCACGCAGCAGUAGCAUGGGGUCAGACCCGCGCUACUGUAGAUGGAACUGGUGCCAUGGGUCUUGGAGGGCGCGCGAGCGCGACUUCGGUGGUUCUUGCUCGCGCGGCAGGAUGGCGUGGACGCGGUAGAUUGGGCGCGACAGGUGUUGUGCGGGCGCGCAGGAUGGCUAGGCCGUCGCAGAUCUGGCGCGAGGGCUGUUUCGCGGGCGGGGGUGUGCUGUGGCUCGGGCGUGGCCGGGCAGGGUGCCUCUACGGAGCGCAGGAGGUCAGGGGCGUGGUUCAUCUGCGGGUGAGCCGCAAGGUGGUGCGGGGCAAUGCAGGAGGCAUGGCGCGUGGUGGAGAGGCUCGGGCGUGCGGCGCUCGGGCGGCGGCUUAGCCGUGAGGGGGCGCGGCUGGUGCGUGCCUACGUGAUUUGAUGCUGCGAGUAAGCCUUGGUGAUGGUGGGUCGGGAGCCUGGGUUGGCGAGGAAGAGCACCUUUGGUUGCGAGUGAUGUAGAUUCGGUCUCCGAUGGCUGCGGUGGCGUGCAUGGGGCGCGUCGGUGGUUCUGUUGCUUGGCUAUGGCUCGGAACCAUGGUGGCUCUUGGCUUCGGGCAGCGCUCCUCUAUUCCCGUGCUGCGUCCGAAAGACCGUUGAUGGAUCUAGGGACUCGUUCUGGAGGUUGGCCGUCGGUGGUCUCCGCGAGGUGCGGCUGGCUACGGCGGAUCUCAGAGCUUCUUUGUUGAUGGGCAGCUCUGAUUGUGGUGGUGUUUGGUGGGCUUCCCGGCGCUGGUGCAGGAUGAUGUACGACUGAGGUGGUGUGGGAGAUUGGUUGAACGCCCUAUCUUGGCUUUGUGCUGUGACCAGCGAUGGUGGCGGCUGCGGCCGUCGUUGACCUUCUUGGAGGCAUCAUUGCUUUGCUGCCGCACCUCUCCCGCGUGGAUCCGGCCAUCUCGGCCUCUCUGGGGGAAACCUUUGAUCUGUUAUCGGACGAUGGCGGCGCCUUGGUGUCGUAUUCCCUCUCGGGGGCUUCGUCUUGGGAGCUCAAUAUCGGCAAGCGAGACCGGUGGAUGGCGGCGGUUGUGGCGACCAGGUUUUUGUGGCAACGAUGAUGAUAGGUCCAAUGUCGGCAACGCGGCAAUGGUUGAGGUAGUCGGCUCUUCUCCGGCAUGUCCACGGGUUUUGCCUCGGUUUGUUUGUUGCUGUGAAGUCGAAGCUGCUGCGGCAGGCCCUGUGGUAUACGAUGACUGGCUGCAGGUGAACCGUUCGGCGAUCUUCCGUGGUGCCAGCCAUGCCUGGUUUUGUCCUUCGUAGUUCUCCGUCAAAGUCGGAGCUGUGCUAUCUGGUCGCAGGUGGCUGAGUUCUGGCGUGGAUCUUCAUGCAUCUUCACGGGGAUUCUGCAGUAUGUGUCGAGUCGACGAUCGCCUAUGGCGAAGUCAGAGUCCUUUGCUCAGGAUUUAGGGAUGGCGAUGUCACCUCUACGGGAGGAGUGAUGACGAUGACGCCUAUGUGCUGUCUCGACGAGGCCAUCACUGGAGUGGUGUGCAUGGGGUAUCUUGUGUGUGCCGCUCAAUGGUUGUGAUAGUUUUCGCCCGGUAUGAUCAACUGGGCAAUCUGGUUUUCACUCGGUUUUCCCUAAUUAACUAAGCAACUAUUUUCUUCUUAACGAAUGCAGGAUAACUGCCAUUUCAAAAAAAAAUGAAGGCCACAUAACAUGGCCGGGAACAAAAUAUUUUUGUCAGAAUCAGAAACACACUGCCUCCUUGCCUCAAUCCUCGUUUGUGUUCUCCAGUGUGUAACCUACAAACUGUGCUUUUAUCACAACAGUCAAAUGUAAAAUUCCACAUGAACUUUGUACUUAUUUGAACCAGAUAAUUUGCCUUGUUGAAAGUGUAUAUUAGGGUUUGAUAAAUUCAUCCGUUCUCAUGACUGCAAACUGUCGAGCACCAUAUAGGGAGGAUAAAUCAUCAACAGUUGAUGUUUUAGACUUGUAGCUGCAAGAGCAAGCACGGACAAUCUUCAGGCAUCCCAAUGUUGGGUGUGUGCUUUCCUGUUGCUAACUUGGCUCUGUUGUUUGUUAAGCCCAAGACGGCAUUCCGCAUGUCAGCUACUGAAGCACGGACAAUCUUCAGGCAUCCCAAUGUUGGGUGUGUGCUUUCCUGUUGCUAACUUGGCUCUGCUGCUGGUGAAGCCCAAGGCGGCAUUCCGCAUGUCAGCUACUGAUAAUAGCCUGUUGCUGCAAGUGUUUGGUUGUUUUGUAGUAUUUUGCUGGCAUUGGGUCUCUGUACUUUCUCCGUUUCCUUGCAUGAAAUUGGGGGUUGUCUACCGCCUGAACCACAGUACUCAAAACAGUAGCUCUACUUAGCUAGCACAUUUGAUGAUUCUAUGCUGCGCUGUGUGUUUACUUAUUUCUUCACUGCAAUUAACUAUCAUGUGUUUGAGAAUCUACCUCAUUAACCGAAUUUGGUUUAUGCAGACUCCCUGACGGUGACACGGGAGAUUUAGUCGACCAUUUUUGUUCUAGGCUUGCAUUGUGUGAUUUUUCGGAAGCAUAUGCUCAAGCUGCAACAGUAUUGUGACUGCAGAAUUCAGCUAAAUUUCCGUUUUUUAUAGAGUACCGACCAGUCAAAUAUCAGUCCUGUUCACAUCACCUUGAUGCAAGCACAUCAUUGGAUCUCAGGUUUGCAUUGGUAAAAUUUGUAAGUUGUAGUCCUAGUAUGCAAGGCUGUUAGGUGCAUGGGUGUCAGGGGUGCACUGUCAAGUUCUUUUAUAUCUGAAAGGGACCACUGAGCAAACGGUACUACCAUCUUUACACAUUACUACUGUGCAGUAACUUGCACCACUAGAUGCAAAACCCACCACAGGAUAGGAUAUAUCUCACAUAAAUCCAACGGUUAUGCUUCCCCUCUGCCUCUCCUAUACCCUUCCAUGGCGUUGGUCGGUGGCAUCCAUUUCCGAAAACAAAGCUAUGUCCAACCGUUGCUUCUGUGCUUCAGUAUGCAGGUGUUUCAGGAGAACAUAAACACGCAGCGCAGGAAUCAAGGCACACAACACGGUGAUCAGGGAUCACAAUGAGAUGAAAUACUUUUGUCACAACUGUCAAAUGUAAAAUUCCACAUGGACUUUAUUCUUUUUCGAAUCAGUGUCAGUUGCAUUUGUCGUAUGAAGUAUAUGUUACGGUCUGAUAAAUUUAUCCGUUCUCAUGACUGUAAACUGUCGGGCACCAUGUUAGGAGGGUAAAUCACGAACAGUUGAUGUUUUACACCUAUAACUUCAAGAGCAAGCACAAGCAGUCUUCAGGCCAUCCCAAGAUUGGGUCUGCGCUUUUCUAUCGCUAACCUGGCUCUGUUGUUUGUUAAGUCCAGGACGACAUUUCACAUGUAUGCUACUGAUAAUAGCCUGUUGCUGCAAGUGUUUGGUUGUUUUCUACUCCCUCCUUUCCAUAAUUAUGGAACAGAGGGAGCAGUAUUUUGUUAGCAUUGGAUCUCUGCACUUUCUCAGUUUCCUUACAUGAAAUCAGCGGUCGUCUACCUUCUGAACUGAAAGACAAACAAUUUUACUUAGCCUAGCAUAUUUGAUGAUUUACUGUUUGUUUACUUAUUUCUUCACUGCAAUUAACAACUAUGCAUUUGAGCAUUUGAUUCGUUAACUGAAUCUGAUUUCACGCAGACUUCAUGACUUUGACUUGCGAGAUUUGGUCCAACAUUGUGUUACACGCUUACAUUGGUGCUUUUCUGGAGUAACGAUCAAGCUGCAACAGUUUUGUGACUGCAGAAUCCAGCAGGUGCGCAGGGUGUCUCGGGAGAAGAUAAAUGCGCCACACAGAAAUUAAGACACGAAGCACGUUGAUGAUCGGGGAUCACGAUCACGAUGAGAUGAAAUGCAGGAGCUAGGCAGCUUUGCUCAGAUUCUACUGUGAGCCAAGGUUCCAUUCGGUCAUUCCCAUGUACUUUGUUUACUUCAGUCCAACUUCGGACAAAACACAGGCAAGCUGUUUUUUACUACUCACAAACCGUCGGAUCACCAGCAGGUGACAGAUCUAUUUAUAUUUUGCUGAUAA